GGAGCCGUGGCUCAGUGGAAGAACAUCUGUUUGGCACGCGGAAGGUCUCAGGUUCAAUCCCUGCCAACUCCA
rnacentral:tRNA from 1 species